UUGGCUGAUGUCUGUGUUUGUGAGGGUGGAAGGCGACUAACAAAGUCAUAUAAAGCCUCAACAUGAGUUCAUAACCACAGUUUUCACACCUCACAGGCCCAGGCAGAAAAAGCAGCAGAGAGGAUGAAAAGACUGAGACAAAGAGGAACGAAGAGUAUGCUCACUCAACCACAGGAAAAGUGAAGAAUGACCAAGUGAGAAGUGUGCUAGAGAGAACGGUGGCCUUUGUUUUUCAAGAAGAAAGAGGUGGCUUUUCGACCAUAAUUUCAAGGUCACUUUUCAUUACAGCAAAUAUUGCAGAAAACAUCUAGUAUGGUGUCCACUUUAGGAUACCCUCAGUCUCAAACGUCAUGCUCUGGCAGAUCUUCUCAGGGAAUUCCUCCCUGUAACAUCCUUUGGGUAUCCGUGUUGUGCCCACUUUGCCUCUGCCACCAAAACUCCAGAGACACCGUUGGGCCAGGAUUUUUUACCCCAUCCCCUCAUCCAAUGAGAAGCUACCGUUGGCCAUGUGACUGAGAAGAUUAGUUUGGACAUGCGCCAACUGGCUUUGGACAAUGGCAUGAAUGUACACUUUUGACCGCAAGUGACCAUGCACACACGCGUACACAUGCGCACACCCAAAGGAACACCCUCAGCCCAUGGAAGACAUCUGAAUGAAUAAAAGAAGAGCAGAUGGCUGGCUUGUGGCCACUGAAAAACACACAGAUAGACUUUUGCUUGGUUUGGCCCUUAACGAGCAAUCUGGUCUGGUGGUACAACCUCCUCAGCCCCUCUCCUUGACCUACAUCUUGGCCUGCAACAUCUUGCUCUCCUUAAUCCCCCACAUCACACACACAUACCAUUUUUGUUGUGUUCAUAAUUAAACAUUUAGGUGCAAAGGUC